AGGAAGAAGAAGAAAAGAAAAAAAGAAGAGGAGGAAGGAGAAGACAAAGAGGAAGAAAGAAAGAAAGAAAGAAAGAAGAAGAGGAAGAGGAAGAAGAGGAUGAGAUUGAGGAGGAGCAGGAGAAGUAAUUAUGAACAGAAGAAUAGUUGAUGUAAUUACCCAGAUUUGGACAGAAGCAAAUAAUCCAUCCCUUACUAUUUCUGGAACUUCAGGAUGCUUGAAGUCUCCAGUGUGUACAAUGUACAAUUGCACCUGGCUAGAAGAAAUGAAACAGCUUGGGAAGUGGGGGUCACACUAGGUGAGAAGUUUUCUAGGUACUUGUUAUAUCUAAAUGGAGUCUUUGGGGAAGAUCCUUCUCAAUGGCUAUCAUAAUUUGACAAAAACAUGUUUUUUUUUUUUUUUUUUUUUUUCUCUCUCUCUUAUUUUUUAAAAUGUAUUACUACAUUUAAGUAGCUGGUUCAUAGUUUCUCUGAAAAACUACUCAGGGCCUUCUGUCUGUCUUCUCUACCCACAUGACUCCAGUCUUUUUAGCAUUCCUGAGCAAUG